rnacentral:rRNA from 1 species
AUUGAACGAUGGCGGCAGGCCUAACACAUGCAAGUCGAGCGGAGCGGCGGACGGGUGAGUAAUGCCUAGGAAUCUGCCUGGUAGUGGGGGAUAACGUCCGGAAACGGGCGCUAAUACCGCAUACUAUCAGAUGAGCCUAGGUCGGAUUAGCUAGGUGGUGGGGUAAAGGCCUACCAAGGCGACGAUCCGUAACUGGUCUGAGAGGAUGAUCAGUCACACUGGAACUGAGACAUGGUCCAGCCUCCUACGGACGGCAGCAGGGGGGAAUCUUGGACAAUGGGCGAAAGCCUGAGCCAGCCAUGCCGCGUGUGGGAAGAAGGUCUUCGGAUUGUAAAGCACUUUAAGUUGUCAGGCGGUACCAACAGAAUUAGCACCGGCUAACCUCGUGCCAGCAGCCGCGGUAAUAC